GGCGAACGCUGGCGGCGUGCCUAAUACAUGCAAGUUGAGCGCUGAAGGUUGGUACUUGUACCGACUGGAUGAGCAGCGAACGGGUGAGUAACGCGUGGGGAAUCUGCCUUUGAGCGGGGGACAACAUUUGGAAACGAAUGCUAAUACCGCAUAAAAACUUUAAACACAAGUUUUAAGUUUGAAAGAUGCAAUUGCAUCACUCAAAGAUGAUCCCGCGUUGUAUUAGCUAGUUGGUGAGGUAAAGGCUCACCAAGGCGAUGAUACAUAGCCGACCUGAGAGGGUGAUCGGCCACAUUGGGACUGAGACACGGCCCAAACUCCUACGGGAGGCAGCAGUAGGGAAUCUUCGGCAAUGGACGAAAGUCUGACCGAGCAACGCCGCGUGAGUGAAGAAGGUUUUCGGAUCGUAAAGCUCUGUUGGUAGAGAAGAACGUUGGUGAGAGUGGAAAGCUCAUCAAGUGACGGUAACUACCCAGAAAGGGACGGCUAACUACGUGCCAGCCGCCGCGGUAAGAC
rnacentral:rRNA from 1 species